AGUGGCGAACGGGUGAGUAAUAUAUCGGAACGCGCCCUAGAGUGGGGGAUAACGUAGCGAAAGUUACGCUAAUACCGCAUACGAUCUAAGGAUGAAAGUGGGGGAUCGCAAGACCUCAUGCUCCUGGAGCGGCCGAUAUCUGAUUAGCUAGUUGGUGGGGUAAAAGCCUACCAAGGCGACGAUCAGUAGCUGGUCUGAGAGGACGACCAGCCACACUGGGACUGAGACACGGCCCAGACUCCUACGGGAGGCAGCAGUGGGGAAUUUUGGACAAUGGGGGAAACCCUGAUCCAGCAAUGCCGCGUGUGUGAAGAAGGCCUUCGGGUUGUAAAGCACUUUUGUCAGGAACGAAACGGUGGGGGCUAAUACCUCCUGCUAAUGACGGUACCUGAAGAAUAAGCACCGGCUAACUACGUGCCAGCAGCCGCGGUAAUACGUAGGGUGCGAGCGUUAAUCGGAAUUACUGGGCGUAAAGCGUGCGCAGGCGGUUGUGCAAGACAGAUGUGAAAUCCCCGGGCUUAACCUGGGAAUUGCAUUUGUGACUGCACGGCUAGAGUGUGUCAGAGGGGGGUAGAAUUCCACGUGUAGCAGUGAAAUGCGUAGAUAUGUGGAGGAAUACCGACGGCGAAGGCAGCCCCCUGGGAUAACACUGACGCUCAUGCACGAAAGCGUGGGGAGCAAACAGGAUUAGAUACCCUGGUAGUCCACGCCCUAAACGAUGUCUACUAGUUGUCGGGUCUUAAUUGACUUGGUAACGCAGCUAACGCGUGAAGUAGACCGCCUGGGGAGUACGGUCGCAAGGUUAAAACUCAAAGGAAUUGACGG
rnacentral:rRNA from 1 species